UACGAAGGGUGCAAGCGUUACUCGGAAUUACUGGGCGUAAAGCGUGCGUAGGUGGUUCGUUAAGUCUGAUGUGAAAGCCCUGGGCUCAACCUGGGAAUGGCAUUGGAAACUGGCGACCUAGAGUGCGGUAGAGGGUAGUGGAAUUCCCGGUGUAGCAGUGAAAUGCGUAGAGAUCGGGAGGAACAUCCGUGGCGAAGGCGACUACCUGGACAAUUGCUGACGCUCAGGCACGAAAGCGUGGGGAGCAAAAGGG
rnacentral:rRNA from 1 species